rnacentral:rRNA from 1 species
UGCAGUCGACGGUAACAGGAAAAGCUUGCUGCUUUGCUGACGAGUGGCGGACGGGUGAGUAAUGUCUGGGAAACUGCCUGAUGGAGGGGGAUAACUACUGGAAACGGUAGCUAAUACCGCAUAACGUCUCAAGACCAAGGAGGGGGACCUUCGGGCCUCUUGCCAUCGGAUGUGCCCAGAUGGGAUUAGCUUGUUGGUGGGGUAACGGCUCACCUAGGCGACGAUCCCUAGCUGGUCUGACAGGAUGACCAGCCACACUGGAACUGAGACACGGUCCAGACUCCUACGGGAGGCAGCAGUGGGGAAUAUUGCACAAUGGGCGCAAGCCUGAUGCAGCCAUGCCGCGUGUAUGAAGAAGGCCUUCGGGUUGUAAAGUACUUUCAGCGGGGAGGAAGGGAGUAAAGUUAAUACCUUUGCUCAUUGACGUUACCCGCAGAAGAAGCACCGGCUAACUCCGUGCCAGCAGCCGCGGUAAUACGGAGGGUGCAAGCGUUAAUCGGAAUUACUGGGCGUAAAGCGCACGCAGGCGGUUUGUUAAGUCAGAUGUGAAAUCCCCGGGCUCAACCUGGGAACUGCAUCUGAUACUGGCAAGCUUGAGUCUCGUAGAGGGGGGUAGAAUUCCAGGUGUAGCGGUGAAAUGCGUAGAGAUCUGGAGGAAUACCGGUGGCGAAGGCGGCCCCCCUGGACGAAGACUGACGUCUCAGGUGCGAAAUGCGUGGAGGAGCAAACAGGAUUUAGAUACCCUG